rnacentral:rRNA from 1 species
AGGUCAAGUGAAGAAGGGCGCACGGUGAAUGCCUUGGCACUGGAAGCCGAUGAAGGACGCGACUAACCGCGAAAGUCUUCGGGGAGCCGUAAGUAGGCUUUGAUCCGGAGGUCUCCGAAUGGGGGAACCCAGCAUGUGCAGACAUGCUAUCCUUAAGUGAAUACAUAGCUUAAGGAGGGAACACGCAGUGAACUGAAACAUCUAAGUAGCUGCAGGAAGAGAAAGAAAUAUCGAUUUCCCAAGUAGCGGCGAGCGAACAGGAAAGAGCCCAAACCGGCAGAUUUAUCUGCCGGGGUUGUAGGACUGAGACAUGGCACUUCAGAGGAUAGCAGAAGCGUUUGGGAAAGCGCGCCAGAGAGGGUGAGAGCCCCGUAAGCGAAAUCCAAAGAAGGCCUAUCAGUAUCCUGAGUAGGGCGGGACACGUGAAAUCCCGUUUGAAUCCGCGAGGACCAUCUCGCAAGGCUAAAUACUAACCAGUGACCGAUAGUGAACCAGUACCGUGAGGGAAAGGUGAAAAGAACCCCGGGAGGGGAGUGAAAGAGAACCUGAAACCGUGUGCCUACAAGUAGUCAGAGCCCGUUAACGGGUAAUGGCGUGCCUUUUGUAGAAUGAACCGGCGAGUUGCGUUAGUCAGCAAGGUUAAGUCAGAAAAGACGGAGCCGUAGCGAAAGCGAGUCUGAAGAGGGCGAGCAGUUGGCUGACGCAGACCCGAAACCAAGUGACCUACCCAUGACCAGGUUGAAGGCGCGGUAAAACGCGCUGGAGGACCGAACCCACGUAAGUUGAAAAUUGCGGGGAUGAGUUGUGGGUAGCGGUGAAAUUCCAAACGAACUUGGAGAUAGCUGGUUCUCUCCGAAAUAGCUUUAGGGCUAGCCUCGCAAAGAGGAUGCUGGAGGUAGAGCUCUGUUUGGACUAGGGGCCCGUCAAGGGUUACUGAAUUCAGAUAAACUGCGAAUUCCAGACAUUUAUGUGCGGGAGUCAGACUGCGAGUGAUAAGAUCCGUAGUCGAAAGGGAAACAGCCCAGAUCACCAGUUAAGGUCCCAAAAUUCAUGCUAAGUGGAAAAGGAUGUGGAGUUGCGCAGACAACUAGGACGUUGGCUCAGAAGCAGCCAUCAUUCAAAGAGUGCGUAAUAGCUCACUAGUCGAGUGACGCCGCGCCGAAAAUUUACCGGGGCUAAGCAUGAUACCGAAACUGUGGAUGUGCGUUUAUGCACGUGGUAGGAGAGCGUUCUAGCGGCGGUGAAGCAUGACCGAGAGGACAUGUGGAGCUUCUAGAAGUGAGAAUGCCGGUAUGAGUAACGAAAGACAGGUGAGAAUCCUGUCCGCCGCAAGACUAAGGUUUCCUGGGGCAGGCUCGUCCGCCCAGGGUAAGUCGGGACCUAAGGCGAGGCCGAGAGGCGUAGUCGAUGGACAACAGGUUGAAAUUCCUGUACUGCACCGAAUCGUUAUG